GAACGCUGGCGGCGUGCCUAAUACAUGCAAGUCGAACGAGUUCUCGUUGAUGAUCGGUGCUUGCACCGAGAUUCAACAUGGAACGAGUGGCGGACGGGUGAGUAACACGUGGGUAACCUGCCCUUAAGUGGGGGAUAACAUUUGGAAACAGAUGCUAAUACCGCAUAGAUCCAAGAACCGCAUGGUUCUUGGCUGAAAGAUGGCGUAAGCUAUCGCUUUUGGAUGGACCCGCGGCGUAUUAGCUAGUUGGUGAGGUAAUGGCUCACCAAGGCGAUGAUACGUAGCCGAACUGAGAGGUUGAUCGGCCACAUUGGGACUGAGACACGGCCCAAACUCCUACGGGAGGCAGCAGUAGGGAAUCUUCCACAAUGGACGCAAGUCUGAUGGAGCAACGCCGCGUGAGUGAAGAAGGCUUUCGGGUCGUAAAACUCUGUUGUUGGAGAAGAAUGGUCGGCAGAGUAACUGUUGUCGGCGUGACGGUAUCCAACCAGAAAGCCACGGCUAACUACGUGCCAGCAGCCGCGGUAAUACGUAGGUGGCAAGCGUUAUCCGGAUUUAUUGGGCGUAAAGCGAGCGCAGGCGGUUUUUUAAGUCUGAUGUGAAAGCCCUCGGCUUAACCGAGGAAGCGCAUCGGAAACUGGGAAACUUGAGUGCAGAAGAGGACAGUGGAACUCCAUGUGUAGCGGUGAAAUGCGUAGAUAUAUGGAAGAACACCAGUGGCGAAGGCGGCUGUCUGGUCUGUAACUGACGCUGAGGCUCGAAAGCAUGGGUAGCGAACAGGAUUAGAUACCCUGGUAGUCCAUGCCGUAAACGAUGAAUGCUAGGUGUUGGAGGGUUUCCGCCCUUCAGUGCCGCAGCUAACGCAUUAAGCAUUCCGCCUGGGGAGUACGACCGCAAGGUUGAAACUCAAAGGAAUUGACGGGGGCCCGCACAAGCGGUGGAGCAUGUGGUUUAAUUCGAAGCAACGCGAAGAACCUUACCAGGUCUUGACAUCUUUUGAUCACCUGAGAGAUCAGGUUUCCCCUUCGGGGGCAAAAUGACAGGUGGUGCAUGGUUGUCGUCAGCUCGUGUCGUGAGAUGUUGGGUUAAGUCCCGCAACGAGCGCAACCCUUAUGACUAGUUGCCAGCAUUUAGUUGGGCACUCUAGUAAGACUGCCGGUGACAAACCGGAGGAAGGUGGGGAUGACGUCAAAUCAUCAUGCCCCUUAUGACCUGGGCUACACACGUGCUACAAUGGAUGGUACAACGAGUUGCGAGACCGCGAGGUCAAGCUAAUCUCUUAAAGCCAUUCUCAGUUCGGACUGUAGGCUGCAACUCGCCUACACGAAGUCGGAAUCGCUAGUAAUCGCGGAUCAGCACGCCGCGGUGAAUACGUUCCCGGGCCUUGUACACACCGCCCGUCACACCAUGAGAGUUUGUAACACCCGAAGCCGGUGGCGUAACCCUUUUAGGGAGCGAGCCGUCUAAGGUGGGACAAAUGAUUAG
rnacentral:rRNA from 2 species